UAGAUUAAAGUCCGUUGGUUUGGACAGCUAGCUGUUAAUUAGUUUUUGUGGGAUCGAGGCCCACUAGUCUAG
rnacentral:tRNA from 1 species